rnacentral:rRNA from 1 species
AAACCAGCACCUCAAGUGGUCAGGAUGAUUAUUGGGCCUAAAGCAUCCGUAGUCGGCUCUGUAAGUUUUCGGUUAAAUCUGUACGCUUAACGUACAGGCUGCUGGAAAUACUGCAGAGCUAGGGAGUGGGAGAGGUAGACGGUACUCGGGAGGAAGUGGUAAAAUGCUUUGAUCUCUCGAUGACCACCUGUGGCGAAGGCGGUCUACCAGAACACGUCCGACGGUGAGGGAUGAAAGCUGGGGGAGCAAACCGGAUUAGAAACCCGAGUAGUCC